UGGCAGGGGGGGGUGCUACCAUGCAGUCGAACGAUGAAGCCUUUCGGGGUGGAUUAGUGGCGAACGGGUGAGUAACACGUGGGCAAUCUGCCCUGUACUUUGGGAUAAGCCUGGGAAACUGGGUCUAAUACCGGAUAUGACUGCUGAUCGCAUGGUUGGUGGUGGAAAGCUCCGGCGGUACAGGAUGAGCCCGCGGCCUAUCAGCUUGUUGGUGGGGUAAUGGCCUACCAAGGCGACGACGGGUAGCCGGCCUGAGAGGGUGACCGGCCACACUGGGACUGAGACACGGCCCAAACUCCUACGGGAGGCAGCAGUGGGGAAUAUUGCACAAUGGGCGCAAGCCUGAUGCAGCGACGCCGCGUGAGGGAUGACGGCCUUCGGGUUGUAAACCUCUUUCGCCAGGGACGAAGCGCAAGUGACGGUACCUGGAUAAGAAGCACCGGCUAACUACGUGCCAGCAGCCGCGGUAAUACGUAGGGGGGCGAGCGUUGUCCGGAAUUAUUGGGCGUAAAGAGCUCGUAGGCGGUUUGUCGCGUCUUUCGUGAAAACUCCGCGCUUAACGUGGAGUUUGCGGGGGAUAUUCACCCAUACAUCAGAUUUCCCUCCCAGGACGAGACUGGAGAUUCUCCAUGGGUAGCUAACGGGGAAAUGCGCACACAUGAUCUAGGAGGCACCCCCCCGUAGCGGCACAACGCGUGUCUCUGGCGCGCAAAAUCUGACGCUAUUAUAGAACAGAAGCGCUGCGAGACGCAACUUCCGGGAUUCGAAAGCCCGCGAGUAUUGCCCCCCGAAGACAACCCUUUGCGCCAUACGUGGGGUGGGCACACAUACAUCUUGUUGCUCUGUGCCCGAAAUAAACCAAAUAUAUCGCGCCCCUCCCCCUGGAGAAAACCUGCCCGUAAGCGCUUAAAACCCGAACGGAAUUGCCGGGGCCCCGCACAAUUGGCGGAGCAUGUGGAUUAAAUUUCGUUGCAACGCGAAGAACCUUACCUGGGUUUGACAUGCGCCCAGCCCCCCCCCAGAGAUAGGGCUUCCCUUGUGGUUGGUGUACAGGUGGUGCAUGGCCGUGGUCAGCUCGUGUCGUGAGAUGCUGGGUUAAGUCCGGCAACGAGCGCAACCCUUAUCCUACGUUGCCAGCGCGUCAUGGCGGGGAUUCGUGGGAGACUGCCGGGGUCAACUCGGAGGAAGGUGGGGAUGACGUCAAGUCAUCAUGCCCCUUAUGUCCAGGGCUUCACACAUGCUACAAUGGCUGGUACAGAGGGCUGCGAUACCGCGAGGUGGAGCGAAUCCCUUAAAGCCGGUCUCAGUUCGGAUCGCAGUCUGCAACUCGACUGCGUGAAGUUGGAGUCGCUAGUAAUCGCAGAUCAGCAACGCUGCGGUGAAUACGUUCCCGGGCCUUGAACACACCGCCCGUCACGUCAUGAAAGUCGGGAAACACCCGAAGCCCAUGUCCCGAACCCGUAAGUUGCAGCAGCUGGUUACCGCAA
rnacentral:rRNA from 1 species